rnacentral:hammerhead_ribozyme from 1 species
GCACUGCCGAGGAGUUCCACAACAGGACGAAACGGCCUUCCAGUGC